rnacentral:lncRNA from 1 species
UUUGGACAUCACUUUUGGUUGAGUAAGUGUUUAGUUUUCCUUACAAGGCAAUUAUUAGUGCCUUUGUUAAGUUUUUUUUAAAUAUCUUUAGCAAGUUUGAACCAUUGUACAAUUUUUUCAUGCAUACAUCCAUCAUGUUCAAGCAUUCAUAAACCAUGUCAUUCAUUUUAUUAUUUUUUUCUAAUUCUAUACCAUUCACUCUCA